CACAUAGCAAAGUCAUUCCGGAUGAGAUGCAGCUUGGUGUCUUACAGAAAGAAGCUUGAGAGAAGAGACGUCAUGAGGUGAGAAAAAAACUAGCUGGAAGGAGAGAAACACUAUGGAACAGGAUGUAUACAGGUUAGCAUCUGAAACACAGAACUGCAGAGGAAAACUUUUAAUAUAAAUCUGAGAGAAAAUGAAGACCUCCUUGAUUGUGCUGCUGCUCUGGUCUGGUUCUUAAUGAUCCAUUCUUCAAUGGCUGGUAAUGUCUAU
rnacentral:lncRNA from 1 species